GGUUCCGGUGAGACAGGUUCCUGAGAGCACGGAUCACACGUGAGGAACAUCUGCUGACAUCUACCCUACAUGUGUGUGUGUGUGUGUGAGAGAGAGUGUGUGUGUGUGU